GAUGAACGCUGGCGGCGUGCCUAAUACAUGCAAGUCGAGCGAACAGACGAGGAGCUUGCUCCUCUGACGUUAGCGGCGGACGGGUGAGUAACACGUGGAUAACCUACCUAUAAGACUGGGAUAACUUCGGGAAACCGGAGCUAAUACCGGAUAAUAUAUUGAACUGCAUGGUUCAAUAGUUAAAGACGGUUUUGCUGUCACUUAUAGAUGGAUCCGCGCCGCAUUAGCUAGUUGGUAAGGUAACGGCUUACCAAGGCGACGAUGCGUAGCCGACCUGAGAGGGUGAUCGGCCACACUGGAACUGAGACACGGUCCAGACUCCUACGGGAGGCAGCAGUAGGGAAUCUUCCGCAAUGGGCGAAAGCCUGACGGGGCAACGCCGCGUGAGUGAUGAAGGUCUUCGGAUCGUAAAACUCUGUUAUUAGGGAAGAACAAAUGUGUAAGUAACUAUGCACGUCUUGACGGUACCUAAUCAGAAAGCCACGGCUAACUACGUG
rnacentral:rRNA from 1 species